rnacentral:rRNA from 1 species
CAGUAGCCGCGGUAAUACGGAGGGGGCUAGCGUUGUUCGGAAUUACUGGGCGUAAAGCGCACGUAGGCGGCUUGGUAAGUUAGAGGUGAAAGCCCAGGGCUCAACCCUGGAAUUGCCUUUAAGACUGCCGAGCUAGUAGGUGAGAGAGGUAAGUGGAAUUCCGAGUGUAGAGGUGAAAUUCGUAGAUAUUCGGAAGAACACCAGUGGCGAAGGCGGCUUACUGGCUCAUUCUAGACGCUGAGGUGCGAAAGCGUGGGGAGCAAACAGGAUUAGAUACCCCUGUAGUCCCUGUCUCUUAUAC